rnacentral:rRNA from 1 species
ACGGAGUUAGCCGGUGCUUAUUCAUAUGGUACCGUCAUUAUCUUCCCAUAUAAAAGGAGUUUACACACCGAAAUGCGUCAUCCUCCACGCGGCGUUGCUGCAUCAGAGUUUUCCUCCAUUGUGCAAUAUUCCC